UACGAAGGGGGCUAGCGUUGUUCGGAUUUACUGGGCGUAAAGCGCACGUAGGCGGCUUUGCAAGUUAGAGGUGAAAGCCCAGGGCUUAACUCUGGAAUUGCCUUUAAAACUGCAUCGCUAGAAUUGUGGAGAGGUAAGUGGAAUUCCGAGUGUAGAGGUGAAAUUCGUAGAUAUUCGGAAGAACACCAGUGGCGAAGGCGACUUACUGGACACAUAUUGACGCUGAGGUGCGAAAGCGUGGGGAGCAAACAGG
rnacentral:rRNA from 1 species